AGGAAUGUAAAUUACAUAAGACAAGUUCUGCGCGACAGGCUCAACCCAAAAGACAUUGAGGGGAGAAUAAAGACAUUGAGGGGAGAAUCGAUCCUAAGUUAUCCGUGUGGAUGACCGCCCUCCAAACCAACUAAGCAAGCCCUAUGCGACAGGCUCAACCCCGAAGGCAUUGAGGCGAAAAUCGAUCUCAGAUCAUCCGUGUGGAUGACCGCGCUCCAAACCAACUGGGCAAGC
rnacentral:lncRNA from 1 species